rnacentral:rRNA from 1 species
UACGGAGGGGGCUAGCGUUGUUCGGAAUUACUGGGCGUAAAGCGCGCGUAGGCGGCUUUGUAAGUUAGAGGUGAAAGCCCGGGGCUCAACCCCGGAAUAGCCUUUAAGACUGCAUCGCUUGAACACGGGAGAGGUGAGUGGAAUUCCGAGUGUAGAGGUGAAAUUCGUAGAUAUUCGGAAGAACACCAGUGGCGAAGGCGGCUCACUGGACCGUUGUUGACGCUGAGGUGCGAAAGCGUGGGGAGCAAACAGG